AUGAGGAAAUUCAAGGUGUUCGUCCAUGUAUCCGCCAUACCUGUCGGGUCUGAGGAAGCCGAUGAGCGGCUGGAGCCAGACGAGGCCGUAGAGGGCGACCCCGAUCCGCUGGUGGGUGUUGUUGAAGGCGUUCUGGAAGUUGGUGAUCGACAGCGCCGCGGCGGCGGUGGCCAGGGCCACGCCGGCGACCUGCGCGGCGACGUGGCAGUAGAAGAGGACCCUGACGGCCUUGGCGCUCUUCACGUUGCUCGAGAACCUGAUCAGCAGCACGCCGAUCGGCAUGAGGAAGCCGACGGAGGACCAGAGGAGGAAGGCGUGGAGCUUGAGCUGCAGCGACAGCUUGGGCGUCAGCUGCAAAAACAACAGUUCAUCCAAGUGUAA
rnacentral:rRNA from 1 species